rnacentral:rRNA from 1 species
CAGCGCAGUGUAGCAAUACAUGGGCGGCGACCGGCAAACGGGUGCGGAACACGUACACAACCUUCCUACAAGUGGGGAAUAGCCCAGAGAAAUUUGGAUUAAUACCCCGUAACAUAUAAAGAUGGCAUCAUUUUUAUAUUAUAGCUACGGCGCUUGUUGAUGGGUGUGCGGCUGAUUAGGUAGUUGGCGGGGUAAUGGCCCACCAAGCCUGCGAUCAGUAGCUGAUGUGAGAGCAUGAUCAGCCACACGGGCACUGAGACACGGGCCCGACUCCUACGGGAGGCAGCAGUAAGGAAUAUUGGACAAUGGGCGCAAGCCUGAUCCAGCCAUGCCGCGUGAAGGAUUAAGGUCCUCUGGAUUGUAAACUUCUUUUAUAAGGGACGAAAAAAGGGAAUUCUUUCUCACUUGACGGUACCUUAUGAAUAAGCACCGGCUAACUCCGUGCCAGCAGCCGCGGUAAUACGGAGGGUGCAAGCGUUAUCCGGAUUCACUGGGUUUAAAGGGUGCGUAGGCGGGUAUUUAAGUCAGUGGUGAAAUCCUAGAGCUUAACUCUAGAACUGCCAUUGAUACUAUUUAUCUUGAAUAUUGUGGAGGUAAGCGGACUAUGUCAUGUAGCGGUGAAAUGCUUAGAUAUGACAUAGAACACCUAUUGCGAAGGCAGCUUACUACGCAGUAUAUUGACGCUGAGGCACGAA